CCAAAAUCAGCGGGAAUGUAAAGAUCCCGGUAGCGGCAAAGCUCCGGGGUUUUAUCGGUGAUUUUAUCGAUUAUUGAUUGAUUUUAUUUUUAUUUAUCCCGAGCCUUUUCAGCCUCCCCAAAAAAGGGCUGGAAAUUCCCUCUCCAUGAAAUUCCCUCUCCAUGAAAAUCCUUCUUCAUGAAAUUCCCUCUCCCUGAAAUUCCCUCAUCUCCCCAGUUAAUUUAAUUAAACUGGGAUCAGGGAAUUGUCCCUUCCCGCAGCCCGGCUCGUAUCCAGGGAUUUGAACUCUGCUGCUGCCAGAUCCACGCCGGCCCUGCUGCUCCAGUCGGGAAUUCUGCCAGGAACGCUGCCGGGAAUUCUGCCAGGAGCGCUUUCCCCUCGGGAAUUCUGCCGCUCCCUCGGGAUGCGCCGCCGCUUCUCCUUCUCCUCGCCGCUCCGGUGCGGCCGCGGGCGAUCCCAAAUCCCGGAUUUGGGGCCGCGGAGCCGCUCCCAGGAAUUCCAGCCGGGAAGAACCGGGAGUUCCAAUUCCUGCAGGAAUUCCAGCCGGGAAGAGCCGAGGAUGGCCCGGACCUGCCGCGAUUCCCACUUUUAUUCCUACGGCAUCAAAUUCGCGCUCUCUGCCUACGCCAUGCUCUUCUCACUCCCCCAAGCAGCCGGACCAUGCUGGAGGAUGAGGAUGGGCUGAGCGAGCGCCGGAGGAGAUUCGAGGAUGAGGAAGGUGAGGGAAAUCCGGGAAUGGGGAUGAGGAAGGUGAGAGAAAUCCGG
rnacentral:lncRNA from 1 species